rnacentral:lncRNA from 1 species
ACAUGACAGCAGUACUAGAAGUAUUUAUAAGAAUACUUUAUCAAAAUAACUCAAAGUCAUGAAGGAAAUAAUUUCAGUAUCAGAGAGUAGUUUGGAAUUUCUAACUUUUCAGGAAAAAAAAGACAUCAUAAAAUUGUCUAUGUUUAUCACUAAGAAAAAACUGUUUUCAUUAAUAUUUAUUCCAAGAAAGAAAAUAUGUUGUUUUUAGAUCAAAGGAAGAAAGAAAAAGGAGAUAAAAACAUUACUUUUGGUCAUAGGAACUAAAUAUAGCAUUACCUCCAUUUAGAGUAAGACGGAAGUUAGGUGAAAGUUAAGUGAAUAAGAAUACUCACUUGUAACAUCUUAAGUCUUACUUUUAAAAGGUACUUGACUGAUUUAAAAGAGUUAAUGCCUGGUACCUUCUCCAAGAGUCUAACUUAAUCUUUUCCUCCUUUAACUAAGCCAUAAGGAUAGCCAGAUCCAAAAUUAUCUCUAAAGGAAAUGUCAUGUGACAUUUAAUCACAUUUACUAUGACUUUGCCAUUUAUAUGGAAUAUACUAUGUUUAGGGAUAACCAAUUUAAUACCAAAAUAGUUUAUAAUGCUUGUUCUUCUGUUGGGUGGCUUCUAUUUCUUGUUAGAGUACCAUGGCUUAUGAAGAUGUUUUUAUUUAUGCCUGGAUUUUAUUACUACCAUUAAGAGUUGGCACUCAUUUUUUAUAAGGAACCAUCAUUUCCAUCACUUCCCAAAGAUUAUUAUCAACAGCAGUAAAGUGUAAUAUAGCUGAAUUGGGAUACACAUGCUAUCUAUACCCACACUAAGUAACCGACUCCCACACGUGAGCCUCCUCCACCAAGAUUCAAAUUCCCACAAAAUUAUAAAUUUAGUUCCUGGAGUUCUUGAUUGCUUCCAAAGGCAGGAGUUCAGUCCAUAAUCCCCAAGGGUUUAUAAGUCCCCUUAAUUGAAAUGCCUUGAACUGUACAUAGAACAAGAAUAGAGAAUUCAAAGCAUUCAGAAUGUCUUUGUAUAUAUUCAGUUGAAAUGGGAACAUACAGCAUAAUUGCAUUAUGAUAGCAAAGUACUAUUCUGUAUCAAUAGUACUAACUAAAGUUUGUUUAGAGGCUAAAAUUAAUUGCCCUGCACUUCAUUUGGUCUAGAAACAUGAACUAAGUAACUGCUUUGAUUAUUUCUUGGAAGAAGAUAUCAUGUCUUAGAAGUAGAUAUCAUUUUGCCAUGAAGACCAGCAUAUAAGCACAAUUGAAUAAGCCAUGAGUGGUGAAUAUGAACUCCAUUCUGAUUGGGGGCUUCAACUAAGAAAUCAAUUACAUUCCCUGCUUUUGUUUGAGCAGCUGUUGAUCUGCAAAUAUAUUCAGUGUAAAUGUUUAUAUUAAACAUUUAAACACAGUGUGCAGUUUGCAUUGUUUCAAUCCAGUAAAAACAAGUAUCCUCAGCCACCCAGUUUUGCAUCUGUUUGCUUUAUAACAGAUCCAAACAUAUUGUCAUAAAUUUGUUGUUGUUGUUGUCUUUCCCAAAUGAGCACUGUUUAGCUAUGUGGAAAAUAAACUGCCUCAAGUAUUUUGGUGAAUUCUGGGCAAGUUACCUUUAUGAAAUGAUAUUAAACUUUAGAAACAUUUCCCUAGACAUUAAAUCCAAGAGUCAUUUGCUCCUCAAAACUGCCUCCUAAUGAUAUGGGAAAGUGAAGAUUGUUUGGAAUUUACUCCAAAGAGUGAUACUUAACAGUAAUUCCCUAAAUAAUAUGUCAUUGGAUAGUAAAGUGACAUUCUUUGUUUAAGUGCAUUUUAGUUGUCUUUUUCAGUAGAAUAUCUGUUAGCUCAGUAUUGGUGACUUAUUUUAUAUCAAAGAUAUGUGAGGCAUGGGCCAGAAAACAAAUCCAUAUUUAAGGACUCCGGUCAAUUACUUCUUUUUUAAACUUUUAAAGUCCCGCUAUCACUUUAAAUAUCCACAGUCCCUUUCACAAUAACCUUAGAAUUUGUUCAAACAACAAAAUUUAUCAAAACUUCAUUUGGACUCUCCACUAUAGCAUGCUUGGAUUGGGAGUCAGACAGAAGCUAUGUAAUCCUCGUGCUAUUGCAUAACCUCUCUGAAGUUCACGUGAAUCACUCAUGAAAAUAGAGGGAGUAAUUUCUACCAUACAAGCUUAUCCUGAGGUUUGAGGUAGAACAUUGUAACUGACAUCACCAAGAGUGAUGUCUGCAUACAGCAAGUGAAUAAUACAUAACUGCUUCUUUCUUUAGGCAGUCUUUGCAUAAUCUGGGAGAAACGUCUGCUCCUGAAUUCCUGUAAUUUCUACAGCCCUUGUCACUGAGAAGAUAACACAAUUUGUUUGGGGGGCAAGCCAAUAGAUUGGAAAUAAACUAUCAUUAAAAAUAAUAAGCAAACAUAGAAUCAACUAUAUAAGGGGUAUAAACACACCAUGCUUUAUAUUGCUUUUUCAUCACCGUCUAAAGUACCACAUGACAACUGGAGGAGGAAUAUCUAGUACAGGGGAAAUGAUUGUUCAGAAGACCACCAGGUCGAUGGAAGAACAGCUUAAUAUAGCCAUCUACUUGAAACACAGCACUGACUAUUUGCUAUUGAUCCUGACAUGGAUCUUGAGCAGUACACAGAGGGAAGGAAGGUUGAUUGGGGAACUGAAUGUACCCUUUUGGUCUUUAUCUGUUUUCAGAUUAUUGCUUCCCAUACCCUUGGUACAAGGCUCUAUUUUACUGUUUGCCUUAUAGUUUCUGUAAGUGCUUCUUAAGGAUCCCAUAAGCUAAAUGAAUAGACUCUUAGACAAAACUAAAUGCUUCUCAAAAGUUAUUUGAAUUAUAUCACUAAUGUAAUAAAUUUUUUAAUUCUGUCUUUGAUAACUACAUGUUUCUUCAUAUUUCUCUUUAGAAACCUCCAUAAGAUUUAAUAGAAGUCAAAUGAAUACAAAUUAGGAUUUUAACCUUACUGUAUUAGUGGUGUAUCCCCAGUACUACUGUUGGAAAAGCAUUUGCAAAGAGAAGUCAGAUGAACAGAGUUAGGAGAUAAUGUUAGUAAUAUCUGGCAUUUUUACUGCAUCUCAUCUUUGCAUAACAUGUUCAAGGUGCAUUAUAUCAUUUGAUUAUUGUUUUAUUUCAGUAUGUCAAGGAUUGGCACUCUGGAUCCCUCAACCCGUUUGCCUUGUAGGAAGAAAACUGUAGCUCUUUGCAAUUUGGCUCAGCUUAAUGUAGAGAUUUUUCUCAAGACAGGAUCUUAAAAAUGAGCUUAUGCAGAACCAUGAUAGAUAAUAUUAAAAGAACCUUUAUUUAGUUUAGGGUUUCCAGAGAGGCAUUCCUGAGAGAACUGAGGAUGAAAUGUCAAGUAUGCCAAACAGUUAACCGUGUAGGAGAUGGGAUAAGGGAGAGCACGCUUAGUUUAGGAAAUAGCAGUGAAGGACAGAUAAGAGGAGCAGGGGACAUCAGAGUAAUUGAAAGACAUGGAGCAGGUGUUGAAGAAAGUUAAAGGAGAACAACAAGCCAAGAGAGAGAGCCAUUGAGUGAGGUAACAGGAGUGAGUGGAGAGGCUGAGAUGUAAGGGAUGAAGAGGAAAGAAAAAGAGAGGGAUGGAAAGAUAGAAGAGGAAGGAAGGGAGGGAAGGAGAUAAGGGAAGGAAGAAAGAGGAAAAGAAAAAAAAGACAGCAAAUAAAACAUAUUGUUUCUGAAAAUUGACUGGACUAACUAAAUAGUCUUGGAGAGAAAACAGUAUCUUUCAUGCUCCCAGGCUUAGAUUUCCUAGGGAUAGGAUGAAGAGUCUGAAUCUGAAAUGUAUAUUUGGAAGUCAUCCAUUUGUGGUUAAGCUAUUUAAAUCUUAAAGUCAGAAGAGGUGUCCCUUUCAAAAUGGUGUCAUGAGGAGCAGUUCAAGUCCACAUUUUCUGACUUGAUACCAGGUCUUAUAAUUAUUUUUAGGCUGAAAAGUUUUAGAGAAAAUGUAAGGGCAAAACUCAGAGAAAUAUCUGCAGGCAGGUCACAUUGUAUAAAGCAUCUCUCCUGAGAGCUGGCUUUCAUGAAGUUAGGAUGUAGCAGAGCCAAUUAUCCAAAGAUUUAUGAGCAAAUUGGUCUGACUGAUAAAGACAGAACAUACUCCAAUAGGAAAAUUUUAUGUUUUAUUCCCAAACUUUAAAGUGUGUGUGUAUUGUGUAAUUUCCCCUUAAAGACAUUGAUUCUAAGACUAGGCAGGUACUGUUAACUGUGUAAUGCUGAAUUCUAUUAUUCGCUUAAUAUCUUGGACAGGGUGAUAGAUCAGCUCAUAGUAAGCAGUUGACAUGACAAGAUGGAACAGUUUUAGAUUUCCUAUUGGCCAAAUUUUAUUUGAAUAGUGCUAGAAAUAAAGAGAUUAGGCAAGGUAAUCUUUGCUAAACAUUUUCUCAUUCCUGGGUAUCAUUCAUGUCUUAUUUGUAUCAUGAAAGUGUUGAACAAGAUAAAUAGUUCUCUAAUUUGUUUUGCAUAGGAAUCACCUAGGAAAAGUUUUAAAAUGCAAUUUCUUAAGCCCCAUAUAAAUGUAUUCUGACCCAGUAGUACUUAAUCUUGAUACUAUUACCAUGAGAAAUAUUGGAAAAGACAAUGUUUAAGGUAACUUUCUGCUCAAGUAUUCUAUAGUUCAGUAAUUUUAUUUUGCUUCCUAUAGCAAGACUAUCUUUACCAGCCACAAUGAGUCAGCCCAUGGAAUUUUUUGGACAUGAGCAAUUACACACACAGUCCUGUUGAUUUCCUCUUUAAAAAAAAAUGCAUUUGCAGUAUCUUUAUUUAGACUGUAAAAAAUAUAGAGGGCCUAGAAGAAAAGAGUGGAUUAGAUUAAAACCCUAAGACUUGAGGUUUUUAAGUUAAGAUUGUUAUAGCUAUGUUUAAUUCAACUCUGACAUAUUAAGCCGUCAUUUAUUUAGCACCUACGUUAAGCCAAGCACUAGCAUAGGUGAUUCAGGAUAAUGGAGCAUUGCUCAUGAUCUUCAAAUACAUCAAAGUUAGACAACUUUGUAAAAUGUAUAGCUGCAUUAAAAUACAGUAAAUUUGAUAAACAAAAAUAAAAUAAUUCAUGCAAUGGUGAAAUUGUACCUUAGAGGGCAAGUUCACUUUUUAAAGGUACUGAGCAAUUUUAGUAACAGUAUUUAGACAUAUUAAAUACUUUAGUUGAGGACGUUCAGAUAAUGGCAUUGUGAAUAGUGGCUGUAUUUGGAAAAACCAGAGGAGACAUACUUGGAAAGAUCUACACUUUGUUUUAAGUGAUAUGCUAUAGAAUUUGGGCAUGUGAAUAAAUGUUUCUGUAAGACCUGCAAGUUGGACAAACAACCUGGUAUUGAUCAUAAAGCACGUAAUUGACUUUAAGCGAUAAGUUUGUGACUCAGCUUGGGGCUAGCUGACUAGGGAACAGAAAAUAGGAUGUCCAUUGCCAAAGGAACGUAGCAGAUGUUGAAGGGAUGUCUAAAAUACCCAAAAUGUUGAUGCCUUCCCCUAAAUCACCUGUAUAGGAUGGUUACAUCCAUAUAAAGAUGAGAAAAAGAAUGAUAAAUAUUAAUAGAGGUUCACUCUAUGGCAAACACUGUACUUGAAAGCUAAACAUAUCUAAUCUGAUCUUCAAAACUACACUGUGAAUCCAGUACCAUAAUUGCUUGUGAGUUACUGCUACAGAAACCAGCUUUAAAGAGGCUGAGUAUUUUGUGCAAGGCCAUACAGCUUAUAACAGAACCAGACAUAACCUACUUUUAUUUGAUACCGAAUUCUUAGUUCCUUGUGUUGACCAUACCCUGCACUGCCUUCUAACAAGCAAUGGAGCCAUACAGACCUCGCCUAGAUACAGAUGUUGCAUCUGUUCACAACUUUUAUGCCUGUCAUCAGUUCAGGGAAAGAAACUGAGAUAGAAAAGAGAGUGAGCUAAUUAAUAGUUUUCUCAUUUCAGACAAAGACAGGACCAUUAGAGUCUUCCACUUGUACUCAGAAUCCCAGCGCCCCUCUGAAUGUUCCAUCUAUCAGUUCACAGCGUGAAAACAAUCAAAUUAUAGUCUUUGAAGGAAAGGUAAAUCCAGCCAGCAGAUUGAUGUUUUUUAAAUGAGCAGAAUUUGCUGAGCUAGCCUAAAGAAAAUUCCAUGUUAUUAGAGAGUUGUUUUGCAAAGGAGGAGAGUGUAGCAUCCACACAAGUGUCCUAGUGAGAAGAUCUCUUUAAACUAGAGGCAAGCUGUUCACCUCCCAGACUCAGAGUCUGGCCGUAGUUCAAGAGACUCACUUACUCCCCACAUAGACAUGAUGGCUAUGGGGUAAUACAGCACACAGAAUUAUGUGCUUUUUUGGCAAGAUUUGUUCAUUUAGAGAUCACUCUCAUGGCCUGACCCAUUGCUACU